rnacentral:rRNA from 1 species
AUUGAACGCUGGCGGCAGGCCUAACACAUGCAAGUCGAGCGGAUGAAGGGAGCUUGCUCCUGGAUUCAGCGGCGGACGGGUGAGUAAUGCCUAGGAAUCUGCCUGGUAGUGGGGGAUAACGUCCGAAAACGGGCGCUAAUACCGCAUACGUCCUGAGGGAGAAAGUGGGGGAUCUUCGGACCUCACGCUAUCAGAUGAGCCUAGGUCGGAUUAGCUAGUUGGUGGGGUAGAGGCCUACCAAGGCGACGAUCCGUAACUGGUCUGAGAGGAUGAUCAGUCACACUGGAACUGAGACACGGUCCAGACUCCUACGGGAGGCAGCAGUGGGGAAUAUUGGACAAUGGGCGAAAGCCUGAUCCAGCCAUGCCGCGUGUGUGAAGAAGGUCUUCGGAUUGUAAAGCACUUUAAGUUGGGAGGAAGGGCAGUAAGUUAAUACCUUGCUGUUUUGACGUUACCAACAGAAUAAGCACCGGCUAACUUCGUG